rnacentral:rRNA from 1 species
AUACGUAGGGCGCAAGCGUUGUCCGGAAUUAUUGGGCGUAAAGAGCUCGUAGGCGGUUUGUCGCGUCUGCUGUGAAAACGCAAGGCUUAACCUUGCGCCUGCAGUGGGUACGGGCAGACUAGAGUACGGUAGGGGAGACUGGAAUUCCUGGUGUAGCGGUGGAAUGCGCAGAUAUCAGGAGGAACACCGGUGGCGAAGGCGGGUCUCUGGGCCGUUACUGACGCUGAGGAGCGAAAGCAUGGGGAGCGAACAGGAUUAGAUACCCUGGUAGUCCAUGCCGUAAACGUUGGGCACUAGGUGUGGGAUCCAUUCCACGGGUUCCGUGCCGCAGCUAACGCAUUAAGUGCCCCGCCUGGGGAGUACGGCCGCAAGGCUAAA